GCGCGUGUGCCGGUGCGGGGUGAGUGUCCCCGCGGCGCGGAGCGGGGCCGCCUGGCUCUGUGUGUGUGUCUCUGUGUGUCUGUGUCUUGUGCCGGUGUGUGUGCGAGGGAUGGUGAGCGUGUCCCGGCUGUGUGUGCACGCGUGGCGCGGGGCUCGCUGCGCGUCCCCGUGUCUGUCCGUGUCCGUGUGUCCCCGGGCGGAGCAGCUUCCGCGGCCUCCGCGGUCGAGAGGCGAGCAGCGGAGAGGAGAAAGUCCGAGCUCCCCCCGGGAGGAAUUCAGCUCCGCUCCGGGACGUGUUUUGUAAUUAUUUCCCAGUUGCUCCAUCGCCGGUCCUAGGGAGGGAAUAAGGAAACGACGCUUAAGAAGCAGCUCCGCACCAAAGACAGGUCUCKGCUGCACCGCUGUAGGAGCGGGAAUGAUCUCCCUGGAAUAUCGGGAUUCCUCUUGUAUCACCCACCAAAGUGAACUAUCUUGCCUCAUUAAGAACAUUUGAAUAAAAUGAGUGAUGACUCAAAGGUGACAGCUGCAGAUACGUGCCUUAUCCUCUCAUACAAAAAAAAAAAUAACAUGCAUUAAACUCCUUGCACUGAAGAAACACUGAUUUUGCAGACUUCAGUCUGAACAGGAAUAAACUGUGUUUAUUCUGUAACAUCAGUGCUCAUCCUGUAACUGAAGAACCCAAASAAAUUUCAACUAUUAGGCUUAUACAGAGAAAUGCAGAUCCAAAAURGAGUUGGAGAAUUCUGAAGAAUUUUUAGUAAAACAGAUUUUGACAAAAUAGAGCUACACCUUAACUGCAACAUUGAGGUUCCACUGAAAUUCUGAAUAAGAAUUGUGUGAGAAUGCAGAAGUCAGUGUCAUAUUUGGUAUGAAAGGAUCAAGAAACUGAAUGCUAAUAAACACAUCUUCACAAAUGUAAACUUCCAAACAAGUGAGUGUACCAUCCCUAAGURUAUUUAAAUAUAACUGUCAAGCUGUUCAAUGUGUUCACAAGAUUAUUCAGUGAAAUGUAAUCACCAAAUCUGAAGGUGUUUCUGUUUCUUCUUGAGCCAGAUAAUAAACCUAAACGAGAUUAAAUAUUUUACAGUCACAGAGGAAAGUUUGGCAUAUGCAGCACACAGCAGCACAGCAAAAAAAUGCUGUGUGGAGAGAAACAUUUUUAGUAACCUGUCAUCUGCAUUUGAAAGGCAAAAGAUCUCAUGUGGCAUCGCCUCCAGAGUGUUCAUUAUUGAAAGUACCUACCUUCCCAGUUUGGGAAUUUCAAACAAGAGCAUGCAGUAACCAGAUCACUUUACAGAGAGCUGGUUCACAGCCUGCAAAGCGUUUAAGUAACUGCAUGGCUAUGAGUCGUCUCAAUGAAAUUGAGGGUAUUUGUCAUAGGUCAAAUUAUGGGCCUGCUUAGCCACUUUGUUAGGCUGAGACAGCCUUGAACUCAGAGGCAGAGGAAUCUGUGUUUUGCUGAAUCAGCCAUMUCCUAAGUCUUGCAUGAUUUUUGAACUUCAUCUCCCACCCUCCUUCAUCCUUGUAUUUGGAAGUUUAACAGAGCCUCCUAAUGGUUAAUUCUGGCCCUCCAAUUUCUAUCAGCUCUUUCCUGCCAUUGCUSUGCAAGGUUAAGUGCCUGUGAUUAACCAGAACUUUCAGACACUCUCACAAGUGAUGCUUCCAGUGAGGCUGUCAAGGCUUUGWUCAGCCCAGUGACACAGACAGAGACAGCAAUUAGAAGUUGUCACCUUUUCCAACACUAAACUGCAUUCUAGGCAUUUGGGGGGACAAAAAAAGGCCCAAACAUUGUCCUAAACUUAAGCAUUGAGCAAUACCUGUUUUGAAGUAGGUUUGCUAACUGAGGCCCCAGCAGAUAGUUAUGGGAGUUACUGGAGGAGGAACACUUGUGGUCACCACACCCUGAGUCUGCCCAAACCCAUGUAACCUGAUUCUCUUUUUCCUCCAGUUUCCUACUGGUGUGACCGUGGUGACUUCAGCAGAAAGCCUCUCAUUGAGGUUUUGUGACAGGGUGUUUCACCAAAAUCUUAAUUAGGUUUUGCUAGCACAGCAAAGCCUUAAAAGGAAACUUCAGAUUCAAAGAUGCACAGAUUCACCAGGAACAUGACAUUUUC